GUCUACAGCCAUGCCACCCUGAAUGUGCCCAAUCUCAUCUGAUCUUGGAAGCUAAACAUGGUCAGGCCUGGUUAGUACUUGGAUGGGAGAACACCUAGGAAUACCAGGUGCUAUAGGCG
rnacentral:rRNA from 1 species